rnacentral:lncRNA from 1 species
ACCUGUAUGCCAUACAGUGUCUCCACACUCCUUGGUUUAAGAGGACAACCAACUAAAUGGCACACAACGACCUAUACUUGACAUAGCUAUCGUCCAAUUGACAGCUCGUCAUUUGGUCGCGAACUGGUUUAAGGACUAAAUGAUAAAACCUCUUUUAUCCACUAAAUUAGUCCUAAGGACUUCAUCACAAUACACAGGAGUUCAAUUUGAAGAUGCAACACUUGUGAUGAAUAGAAAAUUGCCAGAAUAAAUUUUUAUUCAUUUUAAUAAAACAUAUACAUAAUUCAAUUUCUUACAAUUAAAAAAUUGGCUUUGGGACACAAUUCCC